UACGGAGGGUGCAAGCGUUAUCCGGAUUCACUGGGUUUAAAGGGUGCGUAGGUGGGUUGGUAAGUCAGUGGUGAAAUCCCCGAGCUUAACUUGGGAACUGCCAUUGAUACUAUCAGUCUUGAAUAUUGUGGAGGUCAGCGGAAUAUGUCAUGUAGCGGUGAAAUGCUUAGAUAUGACAUAGAACACCAAUUGCGAAGGCAGCUGGCUACGCAUAUAUUGACACUGAGGCACGAAAGCGUGGGGAUCAAACAGG
rnacentral:rRNA from 1 species